CACAAGCAGCGGAGCGUGUGGUUUAAUUCGAUGAUACACGAAGAACCUUACCCUAGGCUUGUACAUGUUGGUGGUAGGGAUCCGAAAGGUGACCGACCUUCGGGGUAGCCUUCACAGGUGCUGCAUGGCUGUCGUCAGCUCGUGUCGUGAGAUGUCCGGUUAAGUCCGGUAACGAGCGCAACCCUCGCUGUGUGUUAUAUGUGUCACACGGGACUGCCGGUAUCAAGCCGGAGGAAGGUGGGAUGACGUCAAGUCAGCAUGGCCUUUAUGUCUGGGGCUACACACACGCUACAAUGGCCAGUACAAUAGGUUGCAAGACCGCGAGGUGGAGCCAAUCCUUAAAGCUGGUCUCAGUUCGGAUUGCAGGCUGCAACUCGCCUGCAUGAAGUCGGAGUUGCUAGUAACCGCGCGUCAGCUAUAGUGCGGUGAAUACGUUCCCGGGGCUU
rnacentral:rRNA from 1 species